rnacentral:tRNA from 1 species
GUGACCGUAGCUCAGCUGGACAGAGCAUCGGGUUGUGACCCCGGGGGUCGAGGGUUCGAGUCCCUCCGGCCACCCCA